AUCCUCGUUCAGAUAUCCAGCGAUGCAUGAAAAAAAUAUGUUUAUUUUUAUUUUUUUCAUGCAUCACUGGAAAUCUGAACGAGGAU